CCGACCGGAGGUCUUUGGUCGAGACGACAGCAGUGGGCAACUCUUCUCAAUUUCUUUUCGGUUUCCCCUCUCCCAGCCUCCCAGCUGGAGCGAAACCUUCCGAUUACAGAUGGUCUACUACCUGCUUUCCAUCUCGGCGGAGCUGGAGAACCUCACGGAUCUCCAGCCUUGCGGUGGCUGCGACGAUCCAAACUUUUCUUACUACUUCAAGGUGAAGUGCGAGAGCUGCGGGGAGAUUAGUCAGAAGGAAACGUGCGUCAUGAUAUCUGAAGUUGUUCCCCUUCCAACUGGCAGGGCAACUGCUCAUCUGGUGCAGAAGUGUAAACUGUGUGGACGAGAGGGAAGCAUUCAGAUGAUUACAGGAGAGGGUCAACCAUUGACUCUAGGGCAAAGUGAAAGAGAAGAAUUUUCCAGGUUGAUGAUUUUUGAUGGCAGGGGUCUUGCGCCCACUGAUUUCUCUUUCUCUGAUGGUUGGGAAGCUCAAUCUUUGGCAGGCACCACUUUCGACGUUGAUCUAUCUGCUGGGGAGUUUGCAGAGUAUGAUGAGAAGGGGGAAUGCCCUGUUGGAAUAACCAAUGUGCGCGCCAACUUUAGCGUGGUGAAGAAGCGGGAGCGAGGGGGGAAAGAUGUCUAUAUUUGAAAUAAUGGAAGUUUCGUUAUUCUACGUGGGGCCUUUCUAACUACAUGUCGGUUACCAGAUGGCAACAACAGCUGGAACAGGCUGUCCGUAACCUGGCCGUCCUGUUUCUCAGCACCUGUUCUCUGUUUCCUCUCUCUCUCUCUCUCUCUUCUUCUUCUUCGUCCUCACCGUACGCUCUCCCCUACCUCGGGCUAGGGUUUCCGUUCUAUCUCCAAAACCGAUUUUGAUACCAGAGAACUUGAUCGGAUUCAAACUCUAUGCCACGGGAGCUUCUGUUUGAGCUCGGUAUUGAUGAAUUCGGCUUAGUUCCUGGAGACUAGGGUUUCAGAUGAAGAAGGGCGGCCCUGGAAUCUCUUCAUUGCUUUCUAUCAAGCAAGGAAUCCUAGAACCAGAACCCUAGUAGUUCUUGAAGACAUAAUGUUGUUUUAGCAGAUAGAACUUUAAUAAGUUUUCUCCUCAUUGCAAGAGUGCUCUCUUGGUCUGGCUUACGGCGGCGAGCAUGCGUGGAAUCCGUGCUCCGGCUGAUUCCCAUGACAAGAGUUGCCGCCGAUGCUUUCGGCGUGGCAACCAUUGCUCUCGUCGCACUAGCUUCCAUUCUCGGACUGCUAUGCAUCUAUCGCUGCAUCUACUUCCAACUUCAGAUUCAAAGACGAGGAUUCUCCCAUCUCGGAUACUUUAACGGUCCCUGGAUCAUCCGUGUCGUCCUCAUCAUUAUUUCAAUCUGGUGGGGCUUCGGCGAGAUCGUUCGAUUGAGCCUCCUCAGAGAUACUGGAAGGCCUCUCUCCACCACGGCAUGGUGCAAGUUCUAUGUUCUAUCAAACCUCGGAUUCGCUGAACCCGUCAUCUUCCUCAUGCUCGGUUUCUUACUCCAUGCUGCGCUACGAAAACGAGACUCUGACUCACUUACUCAGACAUGGAAUUGGAAGACAUUCGUCUCCGUCCUCCUCCUUUCCCUUCCCCUAUUAUUGUUUCAACUCCUUGUUUUAAUAGGACCUCAUAGGAUGAGGAAGAAGAAGGUGAAGUUCUUCAUGACUUCAUCAUUCCCUCCAUUGACUGAUACAACCAUUUGCACUUACCCCUUACUUAGCACUGUAAUUUUGGGAUUAUUCGAUAUUUUCGUGAUUGCUUAUGUUGUUUACAUCGGAGCUCGAAUGCUAUGUUUAGUGAUCAACAAAGGGCUGCGACUCAGAGUCUAUUUUCUCGCUCUGUCGGUCAUCUUCUUCCUCCCACUCCGAGUUCUGUUACUCGGACUCUCGGCUCUGCCUCGUGCUGGAAAUAUUUGUUAUGAGGUGCUCGUAUUCGCCGCCUUUCUCAUGCUCUUAUCAUGCAACAUGACGGGCAUCUGCAUGCUCGUGUAUCUCCCCGUUGCCGAUUCGUUAGCGCUGCGAAAAAUCAACGAACAUGACACCGAGAUUGAGGAGAUUCCUUGUAAUGAUUAUUACUGCGAAGGAGCCUCGCUGAUCCAGAACGAAAACCAUCAGGAUUCGACAAAGCGAGGUUCAAUAUCAUUUUGCGCCAUUAUCAAGGAUGAUUCUCCUCACUUCCUCCAUGGUGUUGAGGAAAGAAGGUCCAUUUCUUUUACACCCCUUAAUAUUGUUUCUUCUGCACAAUCUCCUCCUUAUGGGGAAUAAAAAGAUUCUGCAUUUCUGUCUUUAGUUUAGUGGGCAUCAGAUUUUGGGUGAAAGGUUGUAAAAGUAAAGGGUUGUGGUGAAAUUUUAUACUGUUUAUAUAAGUAGAGGUUGGUCAUGAAAUGUACUAAUUUUUUUUUGGGAAAGGAAUUGUUUUGAGAUGAGUGUAAUAUAUGAGAAAUUGAUUUAAAUUUUUAUGAGAUUUUUCAUUUGAUUUGUCAGAA